ensembl:lncRNA
GGGACAAGGAAAAAAAAAAAAAGACUUCUGUUAAAGGACAAUUCUCUGAAGGGUCUUUUAGCUGGCAAUUGUCAGCAUUGCUCAGGGCCAACGGAUCAAAUUUAAGUCUAAAAAGUGCUGAUGGUCCUAUGAGUCAUCACAGUAGGAGCUGGCGCUCCGGGCCACUCAAGUUCAAUUUUUGGUGUUACCACGGGGUGUAGGAACGGGAAUCUUGGUGAGCAAAGAUUUACUUGGUAUUUGAUGCACUGGGUAAGUGGCAUUCUUAAAAUCACCAGCCUCCCAAGCAGCUAGUAAGCCAGCAGGAGGUUAGUAGGAAGAGAAAGUAAUUGUCCUUUGUGCCUCUGAAAAUAGCCAACAUUAAAGGAUCCUCUUAUGUAUUACCUGAGUCUCAAUCUACGUUUGCAGCUCAAAGAGAAAGGAAAAGGCUGAAGUGGACGGAAAAUAAAGCUGUCAGAAAUAUUAGAGGAGACCCUCCUCAAGCUGUCACGAAGCUUACAGUCUCCUCAUCUGGAAACGUGUGCAACUACAAAGGAUGUGCACUCUACAAGCAAUAAAAACUUGUUUGGACAACGCACUUUCCAUUUACAGAAUGUACUGCGUGCGUGCCUUGUGUCCGCUAUGUUCCUGAAGAGGCCAGAAACACACGCAAAGGGUCUGCAAGAAUGACAGCCUUACACUUCUCCGAGAUGCCCAUCACCAGAGCAAGCGUCACGCAAAGUCGAGCUGCUUUAACAGCCUGCACACAUGCACUCUGAAAUCCACUCUAUCUGCAGCCGCCACUCUCCACAAAACGCCAAUGAAGGAGUAAUUGCAUCAUAACGACAAGUAGGAGGUGGCUGCAGUGCUUUGGGCUUGACCUGAAUAUUCUUAUCUGCUGUUAAAUUUCACAAACGGAAACAGCUCUUGCUUUAAAUUCCCACAGUUCGGUCAUGGAUCUGAAAGGAAGUUUUCCUAAUCUGGACUAAACACGCCAUGAAAAAUGCUCCCAGAAGCUCACAGCGCUUCAGCGCAACCAGACAGGAUUGUCUUCUCGUUUCAGGCUUACGUCAGUGCACUGCCUAAACCAGACCUGAAUCUGGAUAACGGAUCCUGCUCGAUUAAUUAGCCCAUCCCUUAUGUCUUGAAUAAACGUGAGCAUCGGCGAAACUGAAAUUACAAAAGAAAAAGAGUUUACAGGACAGGAGACUUUACAGACUCCACAAGGCCACACAAGGGCCUAAGGCCCCGCAGCCUAAGGCCCCGCAGCCUAAGGCCCCGCUGCCCGCCUCCUUCACAGGCGGCGCUUCCACUGCCUUCAGCGCAGCAGGGCUGUGCCCCUUCAAAGAACAGGAGAGGAUUCUUACGUAGAAAACAGCGAAAAAUCUUCUUUGCUAACGGGAAAAACUCCUUGCAGUAAUCAUAUUUAAAGCAUGGUCAACAAAUAUGACAAGCCUACAACGGCAUCGCGGCAGUGCUUCGGCAAUACCACAGCAGGCUGCUGUAUCUGCAGGACUGUUCAUUUACUUUCCCCUAAAUCUGGAAUUGUUGUUUUUCACCAAACGCCCUGUUUGCCGGCACAUCCGUAUGCCAACAUCGCAGCGCGCGCCCCAGGGUAAGGACGAGCGGCAGGCAGAGACGGGGCUCCUGCACACGCGUUGCACACAGCAGCGCCGUCAGAGAUGCCAAGUCUCCAUCUCCUCCUGUGCUUCGUGUGGUGACAGCUAGCUGCGCCGCUCACAGACCUUCCCACAGCGUAGCAGCGUAUCUUCACCACGAGUAACACAACGCCGCUGCUCCUGAGCACCAAGGAACUGCCCCACUGCGCGCACUGCAGCGCUGAGCGGUACUGCCGCACCUAAGUGGUUUUGGCAGGCAGCACGCAGGGCAGAGGCGCACAGCGAGAUGCACGUUUAAGCCCUCCUGUGUUUUCUCAUCAUACCGCCACCCGAAAUGGAUCUCACCAUUUCUGAACCCACGACCAAAGUACCUGCCCACCUAGCAGGGCAGCAGCGAGCUGCUACCACGGGAUCACAGCAGCACAGCUGCAGUCUUUAAGAGCCCCUACAGCUGGAGCUCAGGCAGAUGCUGACAGAACUCGCCUGCUUUUCUUUCUCAAGAGCACACGUAGCUUCCACCCCUUACAAAAACACAGAGCAGGCAAAAUGAGAUACAUGUGCACACACAUGUUAACUGAAUUAACUGGAGGCGGCCGAUAGAUGCAUCCCGAACGUCCAUCUGUUUACAAAAGACACUUGUGGCUUUCAAGUCUUGUGCUCCUUCUAGUGUAAUUCUCAACCAAAACAGUUUACGUUCAACCGGAAGGCUCUGCUGCAGGGUUUCCACACAUAAUGGCCACGUGUUUAUCGGGCUCUCCAGUUUGAACUAUGUCAAAAUAGCCACGCUACCCAUUCACGGAACGCACCGAAUCCACGCCAGCCUUUCCCAUCUCGGCUGGGAAGCCUCACGAGGCAAAGCCGGGAACGGCCUUGUCAAAUGGGAUAGCUAACAGUAACAGAAAGCUCCCGGUUCCGCAGCUGUGAACUGUAUUUUCAGGCCGAAGAGUCCACUUCCGCAGCAGUGCCACACUUCUCAGCACCGGCUGGGACCGAGGGGAUACAGAGCAGCAGUGGGCGCAAGCAGCUGCUCUCAAAUGCUCUCCAGGGCUGUGGGCUGCCAGCUUUCUUUGCACGGGGAUGAGGGAAGCCGGGACGCGUCGCCUUACUUUAUUCCAGCAGCACAACCGGAAUAAAACUUCACGUUUUCCCGGCUGACUUCAGCUCGGUGCUCCAUUCUUUGACGGAGACGCAGCGCAACGCGUCUCUGCAGCGCGAUCCCUCUUCCCCUCUCACCGCGACCGCGGGGUAUUCCUGGCGCUGCGCGGGGGUCGCCCGCGGCGGCGCUCCCCGGAGCGGCGCU